UGUAAAUGCUUGCAGAUUGAAUGAUGAAAUAAAAGAAGAAACUACAGCCCAGUCAAUUUUCUCCAUGACAGCCUGAGAGAUGUAGCUGGUGCUGCCACUUUUCCUUCAUUUUUCCCUGCCUUGAAUAUGGUGGUGAUGCCUGGAGCUUCAGCAGCCAUCUUAUGGCCACAAAAUGGCAAACAUGAGAAUGAAAGAAAAUGCACUCAUCAUUAAAGGAGGAAGGGCAGAAGAAAUCUGGGUCACUGGUGAUAUCAAUGGAUAGCUGAAGCAGUGCUGCUCUGGAUGGAAAAUGCCCUGGGUUCUCCGAGACUUAACACCCUGCCUUGUGAACAUGAGCAAGAUUAUUCUCUCUGAGCAGCUCUUUUCACAUGUGAUAAGCUUGGCAAGUUGCCCUGGAUUGAAUUCUUACCCACUGUCUUCACCCAACCCAACAGAGAAGAAGGCUUGUGACUAUGUAAGGUGAAAAUGGAUAUACCAUUUCUGGGAUGGGAAAAGAAGCCAAUUAAAAGUGGGCCAUGUCAUUACACUGACCAGAAAUGAAUGUACCUUUUGAAAAAUAAAGAAUCUAUAUAUUCCUGUGGCUCUGA
rnacentral:lncRNA from 1 species